AGCCGGCGGCUGCUUACACAUGCAGUCGAACGAUGAACUGGAGCUUGCUCCAGGGAUUAGUGGCGAACGGGUGAGUAACACGUGAGUAACCUGCCCUUGACUCUGGGAUAAGCGCUAGAAAUGGCGUCUAAUACCGGAUACGAGCUUCAGCCGCAUGGCUAGGAGUUGGAAAGAAUUUUGGUCAAGGAUGGACUCGCGGCCUAUCAGCUAGUUGGUGAGGUAAUGGCUCACCAAGGCGACGACGGGUAGCCGGCCUGAGAGGGUGACCGGCCACACUGGGACUGAGACACGGCCCAGACUCCUACGGGAGGCAGCAGUGGGGAAUAUUGCACAAUGGGCGAAAGCCUGAUGCAGCAACGCCGCGUGAGGGAUGACGGCCUUCGGGUUGUAAACCUCUUUUAGUAGGGAAGAAGCGAAAGUGACGGUACCUGCAGAAAAAGCACCGGCUAACUACGUGCCAGCAGCCGCGGUAAUACGUAGGGUGCAAGCGUUGUCCGGAAUUAUUGGGCGUAAAGAGCUCGUAGGCGGUUUGUCGCGUCUGCUGUGAAAUCUGGGGGCUCAACCCCCAGCCUGCAGUGGGUACGGGCAGACUAGAGUGCGGUAGGGGAGAUUGGAAUUCCUGGUGUAGCGGUGGAAUGCGCAGAUAUCAGGAGGAACACCGAUGGCGAAGGCAGAUCUCUGGGCCGUAACUGACGCUGAGGAGCGAAAGCAUGGGGAGCGAACAGGAUUAGAUACCCUGGUAGUCCAUGCCGUAAACGUUGGGAACUAGAUGUGGGGGCCAUUCCACGGUCUCCGUGUCGCAGCUAACGCAUUAAGUUCCCCGCCUGGGGAGUACGGCCGCAAGGCUAAAACUCAAAGGAAUUGACGGGGGCCCGCACAAGCGGCGGAGCAUGCGGAUUAAUUCGAUGCAACGCGAAGAACCUUACCAAGGCUUGACAUAUACCGGAAACGUCCAGAAGAUGGUCGCCCCGCAAGGUCGGUAUACAGGUGGUGCAUGGUUGUCGUCAGCUCGUGUCGUGAGAUGUUGGGUUAAGUCCCGCAACGAGCGCAACCCUCGUUCUAUGUUGCCAGCACGUUAUGGUGGGA
rnacentral:rRNA from 1 species